rnacentral:rRNA from 1 species
AUUGAACGCUGGCGGCAUGCCUUACACAUGCAAGUCGAACGGCAGCACGGGGCAACCUGGUGGCGAGUGGCGAACGGGUGAGUAAUGCAUCGGAACGUGCCAUUGAGUGGGGGAUAACGUAGCGAAAGUUGCGCUAAUACCGCAUAUUCUGUGAGCAGGAAAGCAGGGGACCGCAAGGCCUUGCGCUCUUUGAGCGGCCGAUGUCAGAUUAACUAGUUGGUGAGGUAACGGCUUACCAAGGCGACGAUCUGUAGCGGGUCUGAGAGGAUGAUCCGCCACACUGGAACUGAGACACGGUCCAGACUCCUACGGGAGGCAGCAGUGGGGAAUUUUGGACAAUGGGCGCAAGCCUGAUCCAGCCAUGCCGCGUGAGUGAAGAAGGCCU